rnacentral:rRNA from 1 species
GACAGAGGGUGCAACCGUUGUUCGGAAUUACUGGGCGUAAAGCGCGCGUAGGCGGCUUUGUAAGUUAGAGGUGAAAGCCCGGAGCUCAACUCCGGAAUUGCCUUUAAGACUGCAUCGCUAGAAUCAUGGAGAGGUUAGUGGAAUUCCGAGUGUAGAGGUGAAAUUCGUAGAUAUUCGGAAGAACACCAGUGGCGAAGGCGACUAACUGGACAUGUAUUGACGCUGAGGUGCGAAAGCGUGGGGAGCAAACAGG